rnacentral:rRNA from 1 species
GACGAACGCUGGCGGCGUGCCUAAUACAUGCAAGUCGAGCGAACCCGGGGUGCUUGCACCCUGAGGGUUAGCGGCGGACGGGUGAGUAACACGUGGGGAACCUGCCUUGCUGUCUGGGAUAACACCGGGAAACCGGUGCUAAUACCGGAUGUCCCCUUUCCGGCACCUGCCGGAGAGGGAAAAGGCGGCUUUGAGCCGCCGCAGCAAGAGGGGCCCGCGGCGCAUUAGUUAGUUGGCCAGGUAACGGCCUCCCAAGGCGACGCUGCGUAGCCGACCUGGGAGGGUGACCGACCACACUGGGACUGAGACACGGCCCAGACCCCUACGGGAGGCAGCAGUAGGGAAUCAUCCGCAAUGGACGAAAGUCUGACGGUGCGACGCCGCGUGAGUGAUGAAGGUUUUCGGAUCGUAAAGCUCUGUUGUGAGGGAAGAAUAGGAUGGGGAGGAAAUGCCCGAUCUGUGACGGUACCUCACCAGAAAGCCCCGGCUAACUACGUGCCAGCCGCCGCAGUAA